UACAGAGGUCCCAAGCGUUGUUCGGAAUCACUGGGCAUAAAGCGCACGUAGGCGGCUAGGUAAGUCGGAUGUGAAAUACCUCGGCUCAACCGAGGAACUGCGUCCGAUACUGCCUGGCUUGAGGUCCGGAGGGGAGAGUGGAAUUCCCGGUGGAGCGGUGAAAUGCGUAGAGAUCGGGAAGAACGCCGGCGGCGAAAGCGACUCUCUGGUCGGAAUCUGACGCUGAGGUGCGAAAGCUAGGGGAGCAAACGGG
rnacentral:rRNA from 1 species